UCCCGCAAUUGGUUUGAGAAUAGCCGGAGGUACAGUAAGUACACUGCAGAGAAGAAUCUUGGGCAAUGCUCGAAAGAGUGACCUAGCUAACCAGAACUUUAGUAAUAAAGUGUCGUAAGGGAGGAUAAUGACGUUACCUUACUAAAAGUCCAAUCUAAGUAUCGUGCCAGCAGAUGCGGUUACACGAACUGGGCAAACGUUAAACAAAUGAAUAGGAUUAAGGAUCCGUAGGCUGUUUCUGCAAUCUGCAAUUUUACAAAUUGCAGAGCUUCAAAACUAAGAAUCAAAUAGAGGAGAAUAGAAUACUAGAAGUAGAGUUGAUAUUUGUUGAUCUCUAGUGGAAUACUCCAGGCGAAAGCAAUUCUCUGGCUAAUGAUUGACGCUGAGGGAUGAAAGCACGGGUAGCAAAAUGGAUUAGAUACCCAAGUAGUCCGUGCCGUAAACAAUUUACACUUCUUAUUUAGCACAUGUUAGGUAAUAAGCAAAUGCUGUAAGUGUAACACCUUGUAAGUACAGCCCCAAGGCAGAAAGCAAAAAGAUUAGAUCAUCCUAAAAACCCGGAGUGGAGCAUGUUAUUUAAUUCGAUAACCCGCGUAAAAUCUUACCUCUUCUUGAAUAUAUAUUCUUCCAUUCGGUUGAAUAUAUACAGGUGCUGCAUGAUACAGGUGCUGCAUGGCUGUCGACAGUUCGUGUCGUGAGACGUUAGGUUUGGUCCACAAACGGAUGUAACCCCUACUUAUUCAUUAAUACAGUUAUAAUAAGUAUAGUUCUCUGACAACGAGAACUAGAUAAAAGGGAAUACGACAAGCCCUCAUGGUCCUUAUGAAGUAUGGGCUAUAGACGUGCUACAUGAAUUCAACAAACUGAGGCAAUAUUAAUCAGUAAAAUAGAAUAUAGUUUAUAAGGCGAUUGUAGUCUGAAAUUCGACUGCAUGAAUCAGGAAUUCCGAGUAAUCGUUGAUUAGAAUGCAACGGUGAAUAAAUACAUUUAGGAGGUACUAACCGUCCAUCACAUGCCGCUCAUCGGUCAAGUCUGUAAUCUGUCACAAAUUAAAUGUUUAAUUUAGUUAUAGUAAUAUAUAAUUUCAUAUAAUUUAAAGUAGAGACAUUGAAAGGCUUCCGGUUCGUGGGAUGAAGUUG
rnacentral:rRNA from 1 species